AGAGAGAGAGAGAGAGAGAGAGAGAGAGAGAGAGAGAGAGAGAGAAACGACAAGAAAACAAGAAACAGGAGAAAGAUCGAGGGAGGAGGAGGACUGAAGAACGAAGGAGGAGAAGAAAAGGAGGAGAAAGACAAGGAGGUAACAAUGGAACAAGAGUGCUGAGGUGGGCAGUGCUGAGACAGACAGCCGCACGAGCCAAUCAGGAUGGCGGAGGAGUUGGGUUUCUGGCAGCUGCUGGAGAGGGUGGGUCUAAAGCUGCAGGAGCUUCCCAACGCCAGUGGCAUUGACAUUGCAGCCUUCCUUGUCAUCAUCGGCUUCAUGAUGAUGUUCGUGAUGCUGUUGAGUGUGGCAUGCUGCUGUCAUUGUUGCUGUGGACGCAGUCGCCGAAAAACCUCACCUUGAUGACUACACUACCCACAAUCCAACAGGGUCUCCAGCCCAAACACAUCACCCUGAGGACUACGCCACCCGCAGGCCAACAGGGCCUCUAGCCUGGGCCAGCACCCAGAGGAAUACAUUACCCACAAGCCCCUCUGAGGACACCAGACCACCAGCGCAGAGGCCAACCUUACUCACAAGUCGGCCUCUGCAUUAGCUUUUUGUUGAUUCUUCAGUUGGAGCUCUCUUCUGGCUCACCCAGACUCAACAAGUGAUUUGGCACAGUUGUGCAGGAAAAUACAACCAACAGACAGUGAGAUGUUGCAUUUGCGCGCACACACACCGCUUUAUUAAUUUGUUACUGUUUAAGCAUUUGUACACCUCGCAUCUCGUUUAAACUUCGUGAUGCAAUAAAGAUGUAAUUCCGUUUAAACUGA